rnacentral:rRNA from 1 species
AAACUAACAAGGAUUCCCCUAGUAGCGGCGAGCGAAGCGGGAAGAGCUCAAAUUUAUAAUCUGGCACCUUCGGUGUCCGAGUUGUAAUCUCUAGAAGUGUUUUCCGCGUUGGACCGCACACAAGUCUGUUGGAAUACAGCGGCAUAGUGGUGAAACCCCCGUAUAUGGUGCGGACGCCCAGCGCUUUGUGAUACACUUUCAAUGAGUCGAGUUGUUUGGGAAUGCAGCUCAAAUUGGGUGGUAAAUUCCAUCUAAAGCUAAAUAUUGGCGAGAGACCGAUAGCGAACAAGUACCGUGAGGGAAAGAUGAAAAGCACUUUGGAAAGAGAGUUAACAGUACGUGAAAUUGUUGGAAGGGAAACGCUUGAAGUCAGACUUGCUUGCCGGAGCUUGCUUCGGUUUGCAGGCCAGCAUCAGUUUUCCGGGGUGGAUAAUGACGGUUUGAAGGUAGCAGUCUCGGCUGUGUUAUAGCUUUCCGUUGGAUACAUCCUGGGGACUGAGGAACGCAGCGUGCUUUUUGCGAAAGACUCGUCUUUUCACGCUUAGGAUGCUGGUGGAAUGGCUUUAAACGAC